CCUGGGCCGGGAGCGGGGCUUUGCCAGGGUCCAUUGUACUCACGCUGGGGGGCUAGAGACCUUCUUUUACUGGUUCUGCUUAUCAGCCAAACUUCACCUAACCUUUGGACUUGUUAAGCCAGUGCCUUGCAGCCUAGGCGCGGGGCUUUUCCACCGGUUCUCAGUUCCGCUUUAGUCCAGAGAGAAGACACUACGCUUCGGGGUUCAGUUUGUUGUAAUAGGUGCAAAUCUUUGCUUCUCAUAAUUCUGCCCAAUGGAAGAACAUUCUCUGCCUACCCAGCUUGCCUCAAGAAGGAUAAUGAAGUGUUCAGAGUAAAUGUCCCUGAAGAACAAUCUCUUCGUCUGUCUCUCACUCGCUAUCAGGAUAGAAGCAUCAAGUGUAAUGAAGAUCAGUUUCUGUGUUAAGCUGGGAAAACCCAUUUAAAAAACAGCAAUCACUUCUGUUGUAACAACAAAACUUUGAUUGGCAGUUGCAGCUGCUGUGUGCCCCAUCUGAUUCCCAAGCCUCAUUCUCUCUCAAAAUUCAGGUGUCAGCAAACCCAUUCUUCCCCACACCCCAGCUAACUAUGUGAAUGUGCAGGCAAUUUCACACAGAGGAUAGGACAAACUUCCUAUGAGUGUCCAGGUAUGUUUUCCAGGUAAUCUGGCUAUUCAUAUCUAGCAACUUCCUGUAAUGCUCCUUCCUAGUCCUACCUUGUAAUAUGCCACUUUGUGCAAUAUAAGCGCUUAUCAAGUAAUUGUUCUGUACUAUAGAUCUUCAAACAGAUUCACCAGUCCCUUCAUAUGGAAGUUUAAAAAGAGCUGUGUAAAGUAGACCAGCAGAUAGUCUUUCAGAAUGCAGUUCAUAAUGUUAAGUGAGCUAUCUUGUAAAACUCUUCAGUUAAACUUCCCCCAAAUAGAGGAAGACGGAGUAGGAUUGAAAUAACAUCUGUUUAUGCUUCACACAGAAUAAAGUCGUGAUGGACUGAUAUAAUAACUCCAUUUUAAAGAUGGAAAAAUAAGAUAUGGAGGGUUUUAGGAUGAAAGAGGAGGGUCUCUAGCUGUCAUUGUUUUGAGGGAUGAGAAGUUGAAAGAGGGAUUCUGUGGGGGAGAGGUGGAGGAUACCCAGCAGAGAAUAGAGGGCAGGGUUUGGAGUAGUCAAACAGAACUAAACUUGAACCCAAGAUCUGCUUCACCUGCUGUGUGACUUUUGGCAUGUUACAUAAUCUUUCUGAUCCUCAGUUUCCUCAGUGCAAAAUGAUAAUGACACUCUACUGUGCCGGUGUGAAGAUUAGGUGCUGAGGCAACUGAUGUCUUUAGGCUCUUAUAGUCCCAGCAUGUUUUUAAGAGCUACUGAAUUUGAAGAGACCAUAUCAGUUUCAUCUGCUCAAAUUAGAUGAAUUUGCAGUUCAUAUCCCAAGGUUUGUUGUUCUUGUUUUUUAUAGGACGUGCAAUCCCUGGUAUAAAAUAAGUUGAAAUCCAGUUGACUCAUCAUUCUAUGAAGGUGUUCUGAGCACCAUGCUGGUCAUUCCACAGAUUGGCAAAUGUGGCUUCUGUGAACUCAUCUCCCCUGGAACUUAGCAGCACAAGCGAUAUUUCUUUUCUGAUUUGUGCAUGCAAUCUUUCCCCUACUUUUCACGGUUGCACUUCUUUGUUUACAGAAGAGAUUCUGGUCAUUUCCACCCCUGCCACUCCACUCUCCCAGCCUCUCUCAUUGGUUCACAGAGUAUCUAGAAGGCCUCAAAAUAAAAUCAUCUCUAGAGUAAAACAUAAAUACCAUCCUAACCUGUUCUGCAGGAGGUCAGGGGCCUUCUUGUUAGAGAGCAGUGUUGCAACCUGGAGAACAUUCUAGACAUCAGGGUCUGGAAAGAGCCUGAGGUUCUUCUUCUGGCUACAAAACCUCUUUCUGGGUGAUUCAUCUCCCCAAAAGUUUUGGUGAGCACCUUCUCUGGGUCUCUGAUUCUACCUUUGAAAAAUGGCUAUUGGUCUGGAUAACCAUUUAGGUCCUCCAACUUUUUUUUAUAAUUUGAAAUUCCUAAAAGGUCUUAAAUUAUUAGGGUGUCUACUUGCAGGCCUUCGGGCAGAUGGGCCAAGAGCUCAGGCCAGACCUCUGUGUAGUAGUGGACAUGAAGCCUUGACUAGCCACGAAAAAAUAUACCACAGAGAGCAAACCCUAUGAGGGGCAGGCAUCUUCUCAUGUCUUACUCCUCAGUGCCUGGAGAAGUGCUGGUGCAUGGUAGAUGCUCAAGAAAAUGCUUACUGAGUAAACGAACAUGUGAUUGCCUCUGGACAAUACUGUUAAAACUAAAUACUUGCCAGGUGUGGUGGCUCACACCUGUGAUAGUUCUUUGGGAGGCCGAGGUGGGAGGAUAGCUUGAGCCCAGGAGUUCAAGCAAAAUAGUGAGACCCUGUCUCUACAAAAAUAAAAAAUAAAAAAAUUAGCCAGGCAUGGUAGUGCAUGCUUAUAGUCCUGGCUACUCAGGAGGCUGAGGUGGGAGGAUCGCUUGAACCCAGGAGUCUGAGGUUCCAUUGAACUAUGAUCGUGUCACUGCACUUCAGCCUGGGUGACAGAAUGAGACCCCAUUCUCUAAAUAAAUAAAUAACUACUUUCACCAGACACGAAAGAGUAUAUACUGUGUGAUUCCAUUUAUAUAAAGUUAAAAAGUGGAAAAACAAAUCCGUGGUGCUGGAGGUUUCUGGGGUGCUAGAAAUGGUUCUAUAUUUUGAUUGGGAUGGUGGAUCCAUCACCAGGCUAUACAUGUGGGAUCUGUGCAUGUUGCCAUAUGUAAGUUAUAAAUUAGUAUAAAGUAAAUUAAAUAAAUUACUCCAAGUAUAAAAUGUAAACAGUGUGGGGCCGGGCGCGGUGGCUCAUGCCUGUAAUCCCAGCACUUUGGGAG
rnacentral:lncRNA from 1 species